rnacentral:rRNA from 1 species
AUACGUAGGGGGCGAGCGUUGUCCGGAAUGAUUGGGCGUAAAGGGCGCGUAGGCGGCCCGGUAAGUCUGGAGUGAAAGUCCUGUUUUUAAGAUGGGAAUUGCUUUGGAUACUGUCGGGCUUGAGUGCAGGAGAGGUAAGUGGAAUUCCCAGUGUAGCUGUGAAAUGCGUAGAGAUUGGGAGGAACACCAGUGGCGAAGGCGACUUACUGGACUGUAACUGACGCUGAGGCGCGAAAGUGUGGGGAGCAAACAGGAUUAGAUACCCUGGUAGUCCACACUGUAAACGAUGAAUGCUAGGUGUAGGGGGUAUCGACCCCUUCUGUGCCGCAGUCAACACAAUAAGCAUUCCGCCUGGGGAGUACGGCCGCAAGGUUGAAACUCAAAUGAAUUGACGGGG